UACGAAGGGGGCUAGCGUUGCUCGGAAUUACUGGGCGUAAAGCGCACGUAGGCGGAUUGUUAAGUCGGGGGUGAAAUCCUGGAGCUCAACUCCAGAACUGCCUUCGAUACUGGCGAUCUAGAGUCCGGGAGAGGUGAGUGGAACUGCGAGUGUAGAGGUGAAAUUCGUAGAUAUUCGCAAGAACUCCAGUGGCGAAGGCGGCUCACUGGCCCGGAACUGACGCUGAGGUGCGAAAGCGUGGGGAGCAAACAGG
rnacentral:rRNA from 1 species